rnacentral:sRNA from 1 species
AAUGAAUCUUGGAGUGGUUUGCUUUAAAAUUUUUUGGUUAAAAUAUGGAUUUCCAGCUCAUUGUUAAUACAGAUCUUCCAGGACAAAGACAAUUACUCGACUCCAUGUUCGAUUUCCUUCGGUCAAGUAUCUAUCUAAACUGUAUGCAAUAAUUGAAAAUUUAUUUUCGUUUCAGCACCUACUUUUACCAUAUAAAGUGCGAUGAAACGGACAAAUUCGGUUUCCCCAAGGGAGUACGGGAAUAGAUUCUUCACGGCGCUAUGCAGAGUUACGAUGUGGACUGCCGGUAAAGAGCUCUCACUAAGCGACUAUGAAAAUGGAGAUAUAAGUCAAGCUUUAUUAUUGCUUCAUCAGGUUUGGGAACAAGUAAACAAAUUAUAAUGCCAAGCGGGAUAUGGGAACAAAAAACGGUAUGAAAACGAUAACGAUCGGACCAGCCAACCCCUCGACACCUGGGACUCCACAGUUGCAGACCCCGGAGAAUAUAUAGCCCAUUAAUGUUCUAUGCCAAGUAAUCCUUUUACAAGGAGGAGGUAUAACACUUAGCGAGUACUGUUAAACAACAACAGCAGCAGCAGAAACUUCAGGAAAAACUUGUAAUAUUAAAGCGCUGAAUCCAUGAGGCCGAUGACUCUCCAGUUUCUUUGCUAUCAGAAAAAGCAGACAUAAUGCGCAGUUUCGCGAAUAGUGAUCAGCGGCGCAUGGCGAGCGUGACGAAAGUGGAGCAAAUCCUACAGCAGCAGUUGCGCGGAAUCUAAUUUGCAUGAAUACUGGGUGCAAAAAUAGCAUGCGUUUUAUCCAUAGCUUUAAAACUUUAAAAGAAUAAUUCUUCAAGAAACAAGAAGACUGCCAUCCAGAGAUCGAUUGAUCUUGAAAAUUUUUAAUAUUUAAUACCGACUUUUAAAUAUUUUAAAUUGGAGCUUAUCCGAAAAAAUCCGAGUCUCCGUUCAAUAUUAUAUGGAAAAUUACUGACAGGAAUAUUGAUUGUGCGUGUGUAUUGUUUCAAAUAAAUUAUUAAAUUAAUUAUUUUUAGGUACUGUGUAUUUGCAUUUAAAAAAUAUUAUGAGAUCUAUAAUCAAUUAUAUACAAUCACAACACUUUUAUUUGAAUUCUCGGAAACUAAGGCUGUGGACCAAACCAAAGACUUUAAGAAGAAAAUAAUUUUUUAACCGGGUAAACAAUCUGUGAUUAGGGUAGUUACGAGUUUCCAAAGACUAAAGUACGUUCUUUACAGAUUCUUUCACAGGUUAAAAAGUUUUAGAAGUGUUUGUUUACCUGGAUUUGGUCAAAAGAAACAUACACAAUGAUUACAGAGCGUUUAGUCUCAACAAUUUAUUUGAAUUCUGGUUUGCUAGGUAUAAAGCACAAACUACUAAGGUGCACAGAAAAGUCAUUUUUUUUUUCAACAAAAUGAGUAUCGUCUGUGCUAGACUUGCCCAGUGCAGACUGGGCAAUCUUGUCGUACAAUGCGCUGUUAAAUAACAUCCAUAAGUAUAACUAUCCACUGUUCCUCAAAUAA